AAAACCAAAAAAAAUAAAUAAAUAAAAUGAUAAAACAAGAGAACCGCCGUCUAAUAUAGGGCUUUUGGAAUCGGUAAAAACCCCAUACGUGCUUCCUUGGUAUUGGUCGUCUCUCUCUUCCUCGAUGCUUUUUUUUCUCUCAAAAAUCUCGUCGUCGUUCUUUGUUGUUGCUCUCCUCCUGCAAAUCCGUCCAUGAAAUCAAGUGAAGUAAGCGAUACAGAUGACUAUGAUUCAGAUUCCAGCAUCUGCACAAUUAUGUAGUCCUCAACCAACCACCAUUAACAUGGAGUUUUAACAAUGAGCUCGUCCUUUGUGUCUAGCUUCUUUUUAAGCAAUCAAUUCUUUUGUGAUCAAGUCUUCUGUCACAUUUCAUUAAUAGGAGUGAGAGUAUAUAUAUAAUAGAUUACUUAUGUAUUGUCCAAUAGAGGCUGAAGAUCUUUGCGAAUGCUGUUUGAUUUGAUGACAGGUUUUUGACAGUAAACUAUUAGUUCGCUCACUUCACCAAACCAUAAGAAGAUGCCAAAUCAUUGAAAGAUCACAACUUUAUCAAAAUAACGAUCUCGAGACUCAAGAGAGGCUUCAAGGAAACAUACCAUGACACAGAGACCCAACUUGUUGGAAGCUCCGGUAUGUCAUCAGCUCAGGACAGCAAACAUACAUAUUUGUUUAA